UGGGGAAUAUUGGACAAUGGGCGCAAGCCUGAUCCAGCAAUGCCGCGUGUGUGAAGAAGGCCUUCGGGUUGUAAAGCACUUUUAUCAGGAGCGAAACGCUGUCGGCUAAUACCCGGCGGAACUGACGGUACCUGAGGAAUAAGCACCGGCUAACUUCGUGCCAGCAGCCGCGGUAAUACGAAGGGUGCAAGCGUUAAUCGGAAUUACUGGGCGUAAAGCGUGCGUAGGCGGUUUCUUAAGUCUGCUGUGAAAUCCCCGGGCUCAACCUGGGAAUGGCAGUGGAUACUGGGAGGCUAGAGUGUGUCAGAGGGUGGUGGAAUUCCCGGUGUAGCGGUGAAAUGCGUAGAGAUCGGGAGGAACAUCAGUGGCGAAGGCGGCCACCUGGGACAACACUGACGCUGAGGCACGAAAGCGUGGGGAGCAAACAGGAUUAGAUACCCUGGUAGUCCACGCCCUAAAACGAUGCGAACUGGAUGUUGGUCUCAACUCGGAGAUCAGUGUCGAAGCUAACGCGUUAAGUUCGCCGCCUGGAGAGUACGGUCGCAAGACUGAAACUCAAAUGAA
rnacentral:rRNA from 1 species